rnacentral:misc_RNA from 1 species
UUUUUUUUUUUUUUUAUUAUUAUUAUUUUUUUUUUUCUUUGCUCCCUAAGAUCUUGCCACGUCUGCAAAGCCACUACGUGUUCUAAUCACAUUGCAGCAACACCCUAAUGACCGGGAAAAAAUUAAGAAAAAGGACACAGCUUUAAUUACAAGAACUCGUGUAAUUGAAUCCUUCCUCACCAAGAAAAUACAAAUGCACAGCGCAACCCAACGUAUCACAGCACAGUCACACAACUUAUCAUCCAAACUCUCUUCCCCUUUACAAUUUUUCGCUUAACAAAAAUUCGUCUAUCGCCUCCAAGAGAAUAGAGGAUUAUCGUACCGGUUUUGCCUUGACCCUCUAGUCAGUCGCCGGUCACUUUCGUUACCAUGUGCGACGAUGUGCCGCAAGAUCAACACAGACAAGAAUAUAUAGUGCCGAUUUUGGACUUGAAUGGCCUCAAAGUGAUAUCUCCGCUUGGCCGUGGAGCUAAAGGCGUGGUUUUUCUGGUUAAAGAAGAGCAGUACGGUGAGUUGUGGGCUUUGAAAGUUAUAUUGAGAGAUUUGGUGGAGAAGAAGAACAACGAUGUAUCCGAUGGGAGUGAAUACAAGAGGGUUUGCUUUGAACGGCAAGUUUUGGGCCAGUUUAAGCAUCCGCUUUUACCCAGAUUACGUGGUCUUUUGGCCACCGAAAAAAUUGUUGCCUACGCUAUUGAUUUUUGUUCUGGACGUGACCUCAAUCAAUUGAGAAAGCAACAGAGCGAGAGAAUGUUCUCCGCUGAGAUUAUCAGGUUUUAUGCUGCUGAAUUGGUUCUCGCAUUGGAGCAUCUUCAUAAUCUAGGCAUAGCCUACAGAGAUUUGAAACCUGAAAACAUCCUCAUUCAAGAGAACGGCCACAUAAUGCUCGUCGAUUUCGAUCUGUCAACAAAGCUGCUUCCAAAAUUACCUCAAACUUCUCCUAUUUCCAACUCAAAUAACCCUAAACCCCCCUCGUCUCACAAAAAACGAUUAUCUCUCUUUCACCGCUGCUGCAAUUCUGGUAUCUCGCCCGACGACUCAUCGGAACGCGGUCUCAGCACGCCACCUCCGGAGUUAGACACCAUCGAAAAGUCCAACUCGUUCGUAGGAACCGAAGAAUACGUGGCGCCGGAAAUAAUCCAAGGGUACGGCCACGAUUUUGCGGUGGACUGGUGGUCCUUAGGAGUCGUACUAUACGAGAUGUUGUAUGGAGUGACACCGUUUAAGGGUGCAAAUAGGAAGGAUACAUUUUUCAAGAUUUUAACGAAAUCGCCGGAUCUCGUGGGGGAAGCGACGCCGUUGAGGGACCUGAUAGGAAAGUUACUGGUGAAAGACCCCAAGAGUAGGAUCAAAGCUGAAGAAAUCAAACGCCACGAAUUUUUUGAGGGCAUCGACUGGGCUUUGAUACUGCAAAUGGCGAGGCCACCGUACAUUCCGCCGGCAAGUUAUGAGUUUUGGGAGAAGGAGGGUAAGGAGGGAACUAUGAAAAUUGAUGUGGAGUCUUUUGUCCAGAGAAUAUUUAGCGGAAAUGAAGGUGAAAAAGAGGAAAAGGUUACCAAUCAAGAAGACGAGACGACAGAAACAAGGGUGUGGGUUAAAGGACUCAAUAAUCACCCUCCUGAAACUGACAAUUUUCUUGUUUUUUAAUUAUUAUUAUUGUUAUUAUUAUUACUUAAAAAAAUAACAUCUACUUUAGCUGAAAGUCUUGACACCUUGUCAUUCUCUUCUCUCCCUAUUCAUUAGUCUUCUAUUAUAUUACAUCCCCUUUCCGCGAAUCUCUUUCUAAUCUAUAAGGGACAAAGAAACUAAAAUUUGGCUAUUUAAAGGUGACAUCCCUUAAUUACAGGAGCCAACACUUGCUUUACCACAUGCUGGUUUACAGUAAGUUAUCAGACAACUGAAAAGGUCCUAAACCUCAUUGUCAAGGAAGUCAACAGCAGAAAGCUUGAAGAAUAUAAAUAACACUCUACACAUAUAUAAAAUGGUUCCUAAAAUACCAAAACAUUAUAAGAAUUUUCACAAGGAUGCUUCAGGAAGGAGAUAAGUGACUAAAUAUGCUGAAAAGGCAAUAAUCAGAUAAUUUCUGUCACAGCAAGGUACUUGUUGACUUCGGAAGGAAACAACUCAGAACUGACUCAUCAAGCAGUGUAAGAGACUUGCAACAAAAUAAAUUGGCAUUCAAUCAUAUUCUCUCUCAAAAAGAAUUUGUAACCAAUAAUUUUCAUGAGAAUAAAGGUUCAUACAUGUAUUGAUCAGAUAUGAUGUGGUAAGAAUGAAACAUAAGUAAUUCUUAAUUUUAUGCCUUAACCAGAAACACUGGAUCAUGAGAAGAUUGCUUCAGCCAUCAGUUGCAGCUUGUGCCCUAAUAGUGGUCAUUGUGGACUGUGGACAUCAAUCAAUUCCCAAGGCAAAUCAAAUGAGUUGGCAACAUAAAUCAUAAUAUGCCAUUGCAGCAAAAGUUAAAUGUACGUCUAACAAUAGGCCUCCAACACUCAAGUUCACAUGCUAGCCACUAGCAUGCAAACAACAUCCACAACCAAACUGAUACAGUAAAAUGCAGGAAAAAGGUACAUACAUUUGGGGGCCCAAUUAUAGUUCCUGUCCAUGAUUGCAUGUAAAUAUCGUCUGCAUCAUCCAUUCCAUAGCUGACAGUUCCAUCUCCGAUCCCUUUCUCCCCUCUCUCAAGCUCUUCCAGUAAUCUGAAAUUCCUAGGCACAACAACUCUUGAUCCUUCAGAGCCCAUUGAUUAGUGAAUGUUGAAUUAGCGAACAGAAGAUUGGGGUUUUUUCUUCAGAUGAAGAGAGAGACGAACCAAGAAAAAGCAGCAAGUAAUUGUAAAAACUAAAGAGAGUAUGGAGCCCAAUUACUACUUCGCAGUAGUUCCCACGAAUGACGAAUCCCCAGGUCCACCUCUAGUCUAACAACUACAUUUGUAAACUUUUUCGAAAUUGUAAAAAGGCCCUCAUCUUAUUUUAUUUUUC